rfam:Asian citrus Psyllid, Diaphorina citri - Florida Strain, whole genome shotgun sequence.
GCCUAGUUAGCUAGGGUAGCGCGUCUGCCUUGUAAGCGCUAGGUCGCGGGUUCCAUUCCCGCCCUGGGCG